AACGAACGCUGGCGGCGCGCCUAAUACAUGCAAGUCGAGCGGAGAAGACGUAGCAAUACGUUUGUAAAGCGGCGAACGGGUGAGGAAUACAUGGGUAACCUACCCUCGAGUGGGGAAUAACUAGCCGAAAGGUUAGCUAAUACCGCGUACGCUCCUUGGACUUCGGUUCAGGGAGGAAAGCGAUACCGUGGGUAUCGCGCUCGUUGGAUGGGCUCAUGUCCUAUCAGCUUGNGGUGAGGUAACGGCUCACCAAGGCUUCGACGGGUAGCUGGUCUGAGAGGACGAUCAGCCACACUGGCACUGCGACACGGGCCAGACUCCUACGGGAGCAGCAGUAA
rnacentral:rRNA from 1 species